UACGGAGGGUGCGAGCGUUGUCCGGAAUCAUUGGGCGUAAAGGGCGCGUAGGUGGCCCGGUCAGUUCGUGGUGAAAGCGCGGGGCUCAACCCUGCGUCGGCCAUGAAUACUGCCGCGGCUGGAGCACUGUAGAGGCAGGCGGAAUUCCGGGUGUAGCGGUGGAAUGCGUAGAUAUCAGGAGGAACACCUGUGGUGUAGACAGCUUACUGGACCAUUUCUGACGCUGAGACACGAAAGCGUGGGUAGCAAACAGG
rnacentral:rRNA from 1 species